AUUGAACGCUGGCGGCAGGCUUAACACAUGCAAGUCGAGCGGGGUGAUGGUGCUUGCACUAUCACUUAGCGGCGGACGGGUGAGUAAUGCUUAGGAAUCUGCCUAUUAGUGGGGGACAACAUCUCGAAAGGGAUGCUAAUACCGCAUACGUCCUACGGGAGAAAGCAGGGGAUCACUUGUGACCUUGCGCUGAUAGAUGAGCCUAGGUCGGAUUAGCUAGUUGGUAGGGUAAAGGCCUACCAAGGCGACGAGCUGUAGCGGGUCUGAGAGGAUGAUCCGCCACACUGGGACUGAGACACGGCCCAGACUCCUACGGGAGGCAGCAGUGGGGAAUAUUGGACAAUGGGGGGAACCCUGAUCCAGCCAUGCCGCGUGUGUGAAGAAGGCCUUAUGGUUGUAAAGCACUUUAGGCGAGGAGGAGGCUCUUUUGGUUAAUACCCAAGAUGAGUGGACGUUACUCGCAGAAUAAGCACCGGCUAACUCUGUGCCAGCCGCCGCAGUAA
rnacentral:rRNA from 1 species